GUUUUCUAGGUGAUAUUGGAAUACAUUAAAAAAUGGGCGAAGAGUAGACAGAAGUAAGUUUGGAAUGCCAGAGUUUAUUAUAAAUAGCCUAGAUCCAUAACUUCCCUUGCCCAGGCUUUGAUCUGCAGCCUGGGACCUGCCCUUUGUCUUCCACAGUUCAGUCAAAGGGAUGCUCGCAUGACAGAAGGGACCAGCAGCAUCCUCGGAGCCGAUGCCCAUUGGGAGCCAAGGCCCAUUGGGAGCAACUGGAAGAGCUCCUUACAGACUCAAAGGAACUGGAAGCCUGAAAUCACUGGAACAAUGGGUGACAGACUGGCUCUGGUGCUGGAGAAACAAUGCUCUGACCUCUUGUCACAACUUAUCACAGAUGACAGAAAAAAAGAAAGAACAGGAAAAAAGAUGAAAAAAGAAAGUAAAAGAACAAUUAAAAAUACAUGUAAACAUUUUGGGAAGUCAAAAAGCAAGAAAAGAAGAAAGGACAAAGAAUCUUCAGGACCUGGCUUUUUGGAACUUGCCAUGAAUAUUGUUUAAAGAGGCUUCAAUAUCAAUUAUACCUAAGAAUUAACAAAAGUAUUUUUGCAAAUGGAACAAAAUGAAUUUAAAGAAGUUAAUGACAUUAGCACUAGUGCUUAGAACAUACUUAAAACAUGCUUGCCAAAUUAUUAUGUUCCUAAACUAACAGUCUGUACAUUCUAAGUUGGCCUUAUUCCUUCUAGAAAUGAAAAUUGAAGUGUCAGCUUACUAAUAAGGUGUUAGAAAUAACCAGCUUUGUGCAAGAACAUUCUUCAUUGACAUUCUUACCUUGGAGCCUGUGACAGGAGAGGAAUUUAUCAUCGGUGCAAAUUACUUUCAACCAAGUGCAGGAAUCUUACUGUCUGUCAUUGACAGUUGUCCCUGGCAAAUGGUCAGUAGUUCUUUGCCAAACAACCUUGGACCUUUGCAACUUUCUUACUUACAAAGAUUAAACCAAUCUUUUUAACUGUUCCCUUUUAAUUUUUG
rnacentral:lncRNA from 1 species